UACGUAGGGUGCGAGCGUUGUCCGGAAUUAUUGGGCGUAAAGAGCUCGUAGGCGGCCUGUCGCGUCGGAUGUGAAAGCCCCGGGGCUUAACCCCGGGGUCUGCAUUCGAUACGGGCAGGCUAGAGUUCGGUAGGGGAGAUCGGAAUUCCUGGUGUAGCGGUGAAAUGCGCAGAUAUCAGGAGGAACAGCCGGUGGCGAAGGCGGAUCUCGUGGGCCGAUACUGACGCUGAGGAGCGAAAGCGUGGGGAGCGAACAGG
rnacentral:rRNA from 1 species